UUCUCCUGGAAACGGGUGGUAAUGCCGGAUGCUCCAGUUGAUCGCAUGGUCUUCUGGGAAAGCUUUCGCGGUAUGGGAUGGGGUCGCGUCCUAUCAGCUUGACGGCGGGGUAACGGCCCACCGUGGCUUCGACGGGUAGCCGGCCUGAGAGGGCGACCGGCCACAUUGGGACUGAGAUACGGCCCAGACUCCUACGGGAGGCAGCAGUGGGGAAUAUUGCACAAUGGGCGCAAGCCUGAUGCAGCGACGCCGCGUGAGGGAUGGAGGCCUUCGGGUUGUAAACCUCUUUUAUCGGGGAGCAAGCGAGAGUGAGUUUACCCGUUGAAUAAGCACCGGCUAACUACGUGCCAGCAGCCGCGGUAAUACGUAGGGUGCAAGCGUUAUCCGGAAUUAUUGGGCGUAAAGGGCUCGUAGGCGGUUCGUCGCGUCCGGUGUGAAAGUCCAUCGCUUAACGGUGGAUCCGCGCCGGGUACGGGCGGGCUUGAGUGCGGUAGGGGAGACUGGAAUUCCCGGUGUAACGGUGGAAUGUGUAGAUAUCGGAAAAGAACACCA
rnacentral:rRNA from 1 species